GAAUGAGUGCAGGUACAGCUAAAUUAGAAUUUUUGAUUGUGUUUGUAGGCAUGCAAAGGCAGUAGAAGUCUAGAGCAGGAUAAAAAGAGAGCAAAUUACAGUAGAGUUCAUGUUUUUGAUUGUGUUGGAAAGCGUGAGCAUUUAUGAGAGAGGUAAAAAGAGAGAUGAGAAAAUGAGAGCGUGAGAAUCAAGGUUGGAAAAUAAAUCAGUCUUGUUGUACGUUUUGGCACGGAAACACGCGUUUUAAAUUCGUCCGAAAAACGGCUUAAAAAAUAUUUGUCCGAAAACAAAACUGGCGUGUCCGGAUCACGACAAUGGCGCGGAUCGGUUCCUCGAGCUUACGCGAUUAAAUUGCGGUGAAGUUGGUGAAGUGAAUGACGUUCAGCGAAAUGAUUUGAAACUUGUUUGGCGAGACUGCAAUCGCAGGAGUUUUGGAAGAGGUUUGCCUCGGAAAGUUGUCCGCCACCAUGGCUGGCGGUGCGUCCUGCCGCCUUUGAGGAGAGUUUUGGGCUUGUGAUUUGUGCUGUCGGCAAUUCUUGGCCGGAUCGGUGAUUUUUUUUUGAGUGCGCGGAACGGAGGGAUGACGUCAUGGAGUUUAGUUGGUUUGCGGCAACGAUGUUGCUGCUGUUUGUGUUUAUUGUUUUUCUCGACUCGGAAUCCCCAAGAUGGCGGUUGUUGAGCCUCUUGUUCGUGACUUGGUGAACGCGUGUAUAUUUUGACGGCCACCACACCAAUACAAACACAGAAGUUGAACGAUGAAAAAAGCGGAGAGAAUUUGGUUUGGUUGUAGCAGUGUGUAGUGUGGCCGGGCCAGCGUUUUGUAGUGGUGGUGCACCCGGCUAAUCGCAACUUUUACUUGGUUUUGGCGAACCCGAUACUCACACCAACACAGGCGCAUUCUAUUCCGACCGGUGCCGGUGACAUGCACGGAGGAUGCACAAGGUAUGUUGCCACAACAAAAUAUUUAUUUUAUUGAUGAGUUGAGCGGAAUCAUCAAAUGCGAAAAAAAAAAACAAAAACGUGAAAGUUACGUCUGAUUAUCCCGGUUGAGUUUGGCGAUCACUGUUCUGGUGGAUGUAGGGCUGACUCUGUGCAGUUCUUCUGAUGGAAGACGCUCUACAGUUGGUUCGACGUUUGGCUAAUGUUGGUUCAGAAUUUAUUUUUUUUGUGAGUGUAAUUGUUUGUUUACGACCUACGACAUCGCCGUUUAUAUACAUUACAAAGUAGGAAUAUUGAUAAGACGCAAUUUUGGAAGGAUGCAGAUAUUCACAAUUAUUUUUUUCCAUUGGUGAGAUGAAAACAACGACAGUUAGGAUGUCUGUCGGGCCGAUUGGCUGGAUGUUUUGAUAUAAGGCAAGAUUGUUCGAUCGGAAGUUUCGAAUUUCGAAAUUUUGAUUUUAAUUUGUUUUAGAGCGUAAACAUGAAUGAUGGAGUAGAGUGCUUGGGUAAUCAAUGAGGCAUGAUCGAUCAAUUUGGUGAUUUGGGCGUUGGGUCUCCUGGAAAGAAAUAGCGUGUUUUUCAUUGAUUGUAAGUAGUGGAUGUUGGGAGCUUGAGUUUCAUGAGGGGGAAACAAAAAUGAUGAUAUUUAAAGCUUAUUCAGAGGUUAUCCUCUAAGAGAGACUCCUCGGAGCGGAUGAUUGGAAAGUUAAUGAGAAUGUUGGGGUUUUGAACUUGAGUCCCAUGUGAGGGUAGAGUGAACUGCUUAUUUUUUUAAGUUUGAGACCCCUACGAGGGCAGAACUUGGAUGAUAGAAAUUAGAGCUGUAGUUCCAUGCGAGGGUAAAGUGAAGUUGUGGGAUGUUGACAGAUACAAAUGGAUUGUGAUCGCGUACCAGUGAUUCUCGUUGAGUACACCAGUGUUGUUAACUAGAAAAGUGAACUAACACGUACAUGUCACUCGGGAGUUCACACGUGUAAAUAAUAGAAAGAGAUGAUUUCAGCAUGACUGAAAGAGCCAUCCCCGAGAGGAAACCCUGCAGAUGAAAAUGGCCACUCUGACAUUGUGAUCGCGUACCAGUGAGUCCCGUUAAGUACACCAGUGUUGUUAACUAGAACAGUAAACUAACACGUACUUGUCACUCGGGAGUUCACACGUGUAAAUAAUAGAAAGAGAUGAUUUCAGCAUGACUGAAAUGACCUUCCUCGAGAGGAAACCCUGCAAACGAAAAUGGCCACUCUUACAUUGUGAUCACGUACCAGUGAGUCCCGUUAAGUACACCAGUGUUGUUAACUAGAACAGUAAACUAACACGUACUUGUCACUCGAGAGUUCACACGUGUAAAUAAUAGAAAGAGAUGAUUUCAGCAUGACUGAAAUGACCUUCCUCGAGAGGAAACCCUGCAGAUGAAAAUGGCCACUCUUACAUUGUGAUCACGUACCAGUGAGUCCCGUUAAGUACACCAGUGUUGUUAACUAGAACAGUAAACUAACACGUACUUGUCACUCGGGAGUUCACACGUGUAAAUAAUAGAAAGAGAUAAUUUCAGCAUGACUGAAAUGACCUUCCUCGAGAGGAAACCCUGCAGAUGAAAAUGGCCACUCUGACAUUAUGAUCACGUACCAGUGAGUCCCGUUGAGUACACCAGUGUUGUUAACUAGAAAAGUGAACUAACACGUACUUGUCACUCGGGAGUUCACACGUGUAAAUAAUAGAAAGAGAUGAUUUCAGCAUGACUGAAAGGACCUUCCAAGAGAAGAAAGCUUGCAAAUUUUCUCGAGAUGAUAAUGAUUUCCCUGAGAGGGUUUUGCUUUCCCCGAGAGGAUGAUACUUCCCUGAGUGGAUGAUGAUUCCACGAGAGGAUUAUGUUUCCUAGAGAGGAGUAUGUUUUCCCGAGAGGAUAAUGAUUUCCCUUAGAGAAUGAUGCUUCCCCGAGAGGAUGAUGCUUUCCCCGAGAGGAUUAUGCUUCCCUGAGAGGAGUAUGCUUCCCUGAGAGGAUGAGGUUUUCCCCGAGAGGAUAAUGUUUUCCCUGAGAGAAUGAAGCUUCCCCGAGAGGAUGAUGCUUUCCCCGAGAGGAUUAUGCUUCCCUGAGAGGAGUAUGCUUCCCUGAGAGGAUGAGGUUUUCCCUGAGAGGAUAAUGAUUUCCCUGAGAGAAUGAAGCUUCCCCGAGAGGAUGAUGCUUUCCCCGAGAGGAUUAUGCUUCCCUGAGAGGAGUAUGUUUCCCCGAGAGGAUAAUGAUUUCCCAGAGAGGAUGAUGUUUUCCUGAGAGAAAAAAUUCUUUUGCCGAGAAGAUGAUGAGGGUUACCCCGAAAGGAAAUUUUAUUUGAUUAUAUCAAAACAUGCGAUACUAUUCCAUCACUGCGGAUUGGUUUAAACCUUAAUGGCAUAAACCUGUUUAGCAUCUCAGACCAACAAUUCAAAGGUGUUAGUUUGAAUACCACCGGUUUCAGCAGUUUUUUCUUGUUGUUUAUAUUCCAAGUUCAAUUACUAACGAAACAUUAUAAAGGUAAACCGUAUGCAUAUUAGCUGCAUUUGCCAGUUAAAAAUAUCUUGAGCUUUUGAUAUAAAUGCUGAAGACAAGGAUAGUGUAAAUAAUGUAGGAAGCUUAGAGCUGUUUGUGCUAGUUGAAUUUUUAUAAAGUUUGUGUUGUAAAAUGUAAUUUGAAAUGUUGAUUGUUAUUAAUUCAUUUAUUUCUGGCAGCUCUAACCUUCUUGGUUGCCCUAUUGUUGAUUGAGAUUCUGGAAAUAUGAGUAAUGGGUAAAAGUUAAAUAAAGUCUACGUUAUUGGUUGCUUUCCUGAUUCAAACCAUAUUUUUAAUUGUGAAUUUAUUGUCAUUUUUUUAGAAAUUUUGCUUGUAAAAUAUAAUUUGAGUAUAUGAUUGCUUGUGUUUUGCUAGUUGGAAAAUGAUUUUAAAUAUUGGACAAAACGUAAUCUAAUCGAUAUAAAUUUGAGCAUAUGAUUGAAUCUCUGGACAAUUGGGCAAAGUAAAUAAUGUUGGGCUAGUCGGGAAACAUUUUUUGAAGUCUGAAUUUAUUACUGAAAAAGAACUGAAAUAUAGUCUGUAAAGUUAAAACUAUUGAUUGAAUUUCUGACAUCAUGAAUCAAGUGGGGAAUGAGAAAGAAGCUUUGGCGUUUUUAAUGUCUGCAAGCAAGGAUUAUGUGGAAAAAGCGAGAGACUUGGAUAAGAGGAGAAAAUUGUUAGUUGUUGUGAUAGUUUGUGUUUGAGAACUUUGUAUUUAGGUUUAGUUAAAUUUUUUAUUUUGGCUACAUUUCUGAAAACAUAAAACAUUUGAAAAAAAUCUUAAAGCGGAGUAAAAUCUGAAUAUUGAAUGUAUUAGUUUUUUUUCAAUUAAGCUAGAAUAUUUGAAGUUUUGAUUAAAUAAUUUAAUUUGAGAUUUCAAAAUAUGGCUAAUGUGAAUAAACUUCGAAAAAUUUGGUAACGCAAACGAAACUUGUGCUGAUUUCUAUUUUUUUAACAUUGUCAGUUGGAAAAGCAUUUUAGAAAUAUGGUUUUAAAAAUAUCAGUUGAGGGUUUGUUUGAUUUGUUGAACGUAUCUAACUUUCUUGUGUUGUGGAAAACUUUGAUUAAGUGGAGUGAUUUUAUUAACGUAUUUGUUAUAAAAUAAUUUUGAAGUUUGAUUUGUAAAAUAUAAUCUGAUUGCAGGAUUGCAAACAUAAACAUUUUGAAUAAGGCGGGUAGCUUAGAUUAAGAGGGGAAAGUUGGAAUUUUAAAUUUAGUUGAAAAGAAUGUGAGAAGUUCAGUUUAGUUUGAAGCAUUACUGAAGAAAAUAAAUGCUUGCCAUUACAUUUUAGCUUUAGCUCAAGUUUUUUUGAUUUGUUGUGAUAAUUAUUCAAAGAUAAAGAUAUUUUAAAAAUUAUAGCAAAGAAGAUAACACAUGUCAAGCCAUGCGGGUUUGAGGUUUUCUUUUCAUUUCUCCACAGCUCGUUCCAAGGAAAAUGUAGGAUGGAACCAAGAUGGACGUGGAAAUAUUUGACAAAUCCAACUGGAGGCAAUACAUUUGAAUAAAACUAUGAGUAACAAGACGGACGGAUGUGGCACUAGAAUCUAUCAUCGUACGGAAAAUGUUGUACAACGAGUCUUGAAGAAGAAUGGAUUGUAAAUAUUAUAAUGUUUUCGAAAAGAUGUAGGUUUUUAUGCGGACGGGCUUUUCCUACCAAGAAAAGAAAAAAAAAUAUAUUAUGUAUUUUUCCAUGCCUUAUAGAACAGAUUUAUUAGUUGAAAAAUAUUAACAUAGAGUAGAGGAGAGGGAGAAUGUAGGGAAUGAGUGCAGGUACAGCUAAAUUAGAAUUUUUGAUUGUGUUUGUAGGCAUGCAAAGGCAGUAGAAGUCUAGAGCAGGAUAAAAAGAGAGCAAAUUACAGUAGAGUUCAUGUUUUUGAUUGUGUUGGAAAGCGUGAGCAUUUAUGAGAGAGGUAAAAAGAGAGAUGAGAAAAUGAGAGCGUGAGAAUCAAGGUUGGAAAAUAAAUCAGUCUUGUUGUACGUUUUGGCACGGAAA